rnacentral:rRNA from 1 species
CUACGGGCGGCUGCAGUGGGGAAUAUUGCACAAUGGGGGGAACCCUGAUGCAGCAACGCCGCGUGGAGGAUGACGCAUUUCGGUGUGUAAACUCCUUUUAUAUGUCAAGAAAAUGACGGUAGCAUAUGAAUAAGCACCGGCUAACUCCGUGCCAGCAGCCGCGGUAAUACGGAGGGUGCAAGCGUUACUCGGAAUCAACGGGCGUAAAGGACGCGUAGGCGGGUUGGAAAGUCAGGUGUGAAAUCCUACAGCUUAACUGUAGAACUGCACUUGAAACUUCUAAUCUAGAGUAUGGGAGGGGGAGAUGGAAUUAGUGGUGUAGGGGUAAAAUCCGUAGAUAUCACUAGGAAUACCUAAAGCGAAGGCGAUCUCCUGGAACAUUACUGACGCUAAGGCGUGAAAGCGUGGGGAGCAAACAGGAUUAGAUACCCUUGUAGUC